ensembl:lncRNA
GUCUUAAUUUAUGGGUUCUGUUUCUUAUCGUCAGUUUCUAGGAAGUCCAACGUUCACAAAGAAGCUCAAUGACACUGUUAAAGGAGUCAGCAAUUCAAGUGUGAUCAGUAAGUCAAGUGUGUCUGUCACAGUGUUGAAGAAGAGAGCUGGGCGAGUGUCAGAAUAAACAACAUCUGCUUCCUCUUUCUCAUCAAUCCUGCUUCGUUACAGACUCACACAGCAUCUCUGAACUGUUGGAUCUUGAGCAACAGAUAAAAUGGUAAGUUAUACUUCUAUUACUUAAUAUCAUCGCUAUGGAGCUAAGCAGCAUCACUAUUGCUCAUGUUGUGAAAUAAAAGCUUCUAAAAACUGUACACGCAAUAAAAUUUCAAAGAAUAUUUUGUUUUUAACAGACAGAAUGCUAUUUUAAAAUUCAGCGUUUUAUUGUACACAUACUUUGUAUAUGAAUCUUUAUAUUUGUGUGUGUUUGUUUCAGGUUUUCGCUGUACCUCAGAGAAUCCUCCUGAUCUGCCUGCUUCAGUUUUGCACUUGUGCAGUCGGUCAGAAUGUGGACCCCAAAACUCUCAUGAAUAUUGUAAAGAACUUUGAGAAUCAGUUGGGUAACAUGGGACAAUACGCUGUCGCCUUCAGUACUGAGAAGGACAACUGUCUUAAAGGUUCUGGCUAUCCAAGCAAGGACUUACUAACUAAAGUGAAAGAAAAACUUCAGCUGAAAGAGGUUUACGUGAGCGAUGACCUCAUUGCUGCAAAUCCGAAUGGAAAAGAUCAUUCAGAGUAUCGUCUGAAAAAUUAUCUGAAGAAUAUCUUGAAGGAUGAAAAUGAGUGUGUGGGUUUUUUCACCGUAAAUUCACCCUGUUUGAAAACAUGCCUAGCAGAAUCUGGGCCAUACAGCGUUAAAGACAGUCUUGUACUGUUACAAAAAUAUGUGGGUAUUAAAGCCUUUGCAUUCAAAAAAAUUUGGACACAUGAUAAAAAGGAGGAUGUGAUAAAGAGACUGAAUGAAAUUGCACCUAAUUUGCCAUAUUAUCAGUGUGAGAAAAACAAAGCUAGAUGUGACAGACUGUAAGAAGAGUAAUGCUUGACAGUUGCUUUCCUCACAUAUAGAAAGUUUUAUUAAGCUGAGGAUUUUUUUUUUCUGUUUUGAAUGCAGUAAACAUUAAAAUUGGUAGAUAAAAUCAAUCAUAUGUAAAAAAAAAAAAUCAUAAAUUUUGAAAGAUGACAAGUACUGUUAAAGUAAAUUAAUGUUAGCAUGUCUGCUUACUGCUGGAGUGAAUAAAAAUACAUUUUAUUGAGCA